rnacentral:rRNA from 1 species
AUACGUAGGGGGCGAGCGUUGUCCGGAAUUAUUGGGCGUAAAGGGUGCGUAGGCGGCUGAACAAGUCAGAUGUGAAAGGUUAAGGCUUAACUUUAAUAAGCAUAUGAAACUGUUCAGCUUGAGUUAAGGAGAGGGGAGUGGAAUUCCUAGUGUAGCGGUGAAAUGCGUAGAUAUUAGGAGGAAUACCAGUGGCGAAGGCGACUCUCUGGACUUAAACUGACGCUGAGGCACGAAAGCGUGGGGAGCAAACAGGAUUAGAUACCCUGGUAGUCCACGCCGUAAACGAUGAGUGCUAGGUGUUGGGUGUCAAAGCUCAGUGCCGCAGCUAACGCAAUAAGCACUCCGCCUGGGGAGUACGGCCGCAAGGUUGAA